rnacentral:rRNA from 1 species
UUGGGCGAUCAUAGAGGCGUGGUUUACCCGAACCCUUUUCGAACUCGGAAGUCAAGAACGCCGUCGUUCCGGACUGUACUGUUCUAUGUAACGGGAACUCCGGUUUGUUGCCCACU